AAUAUGGCAGAUUAGUGCAUUAAUUUUAAAUAUUAAAAAUAAAUUUUUAAAUUUUA
rnacentral:tRNA from 1 species